CGUCUAUAUACGUAUAGCAUAUUAAUAAGCGGAGGAAAAGAAACUAACAAGGAUUCCCUUAGUAACGGCGAGUGAAGCGGGAAGAGCUCAAAUUUGAAAUCUUCAAGGUUCUACCUUGACGAAUUGUAGUUUAAAGAAGUGUUUUCUGUUAGAGGAGUAGGCAAAAGUUCCUUGGAAUAGGACAUCAUAGAGGGUGAGAAUCCCGUAUUUGGUUAUUCUUUCUAGCUGUGUGAUACACUUUCAAAGAGUCGGAUUGUUUGGGAAUGCAGUCCAAAAUGGGUGGUAAAUUUCAUCUAAAGCUAAAUAUUGGCGAGAGACCGAUAGCGAACAAGUACCGUGAGGGAAAGAUGAAAAGAACUUUGAAAAGAGAGUUAAACAGUACGUGAAAUUGUCAAAAGGGAAGCGUUUGACACCAGUGUUGUUUUUCCGAAAAUCAAUUAAGAGUGGCUUGAUUUUGUGUUGUAUUGACCUUAUCAGCUUUCUUCACUCUUUUUCGAGUCUUUCUUAAUGCACUUUUCGGUUAACAAGUCAACAUCAAUUUCUUUUGUUGUAAAAGGGUAUUUGGAAGGUGGCUUUCUUUUCGGAGAAAGUGUUUAUAGCCUUAUACCUCUACAAUCGGAGAGAUUGAGGUCUGCAGCGUAGAUCCUUCGGGGCUAGAUACACUUGUGCUAAGUUAUAGCUUUUCAUAGACAACUUGUUGACUAUGUUUAGUCAUGUAGCUUACCCGCUUGUGCUAUUUUACCUACGCUUAGGAUGUUGAGUCAUCACACAUCUCU
rnacentral:rRNA from 1 species